CAAAGAGAAGCAAGACCGUGAGGUGGAGCAAAACUCAAAAACUUGUCUCAGUUCGGAUUGUAGUCUGCAACCCGACUACAUGAAGCUGGAAUCGCUAGUAAUCGCGAAUCAGAAUGUCGCGGUGAAUACGUUCCCGGGUCUUGUACACACCGCCCGUCACACCAUGGGAGUCGGAAGUGCCCGAAGUCAGUGACCCAACCGUAAGGAGGGAGCUGCCGAAGGUGGAGCCGGUAACUGGGGUGAAGUCGUAACAAGGUACC
rnacentral:rRNA from 1 species